rnacentral:rRNA from 1 species
GCUUAACACAUGCAAGUCGAGGGGCAGCACAGGUAGCAAUACCGGGUGGCGACCGGCGCACGGGUGAGUAACGCGUAUGCAACUUGCCUAUCAGAGGGGGAUAACCCGGCGAAAGUCGGACUAAUACCGCAUGAAGCAGGGAUCCCGCAUGGGAAUAUUUGCUAAAGAUUCAUCGCUGAUAGAUAGGCAUGCGUUCCAUUAGGCAGUUGGCGGGGUAACGGCCCACCAAACCGACGAUGGAUAGGGGUUCUGAGAGGAAGGUCCCCCACAUUGGUACUGAGACACGGACCAAACUCCUACGGGAGGCAGCAGUGAGGAAUAUUGGUCAAUGGCCGAGAGGCUGAACCAGCCAAGUCGCGUGAGGGAUGAAGGUUCUAUGGAUCGUAAACCUCUUUUAUAAGGGAAUAAAGUGCGGGACGUGUCCCGUUUUGUAUGUACCUUAUGAAUAAGGAUCGGCUAACUCCGUGCCAGCAGCCGCGGUAAUACGGAGGAUCCGAGCGUUAUCCGGAUUUAUUGGGUUUAAAGGGUGCGUAGGCGGCCUUUUAAGUCAGCGGUGAAAGUCUGUGGCUCAACCAUAGAAUUGCCGUUGAAACUGGGGGGCUUGAGUAUGUUUGAGGCAGGCGGAAUGCGUGGUGUAGCGGUGAAAUGCAUAGAUAUCACGCAGAACCCCGAUUGCGAAGGCAGCCUGCCAAGCCAUUACUGACGCUGAUGCACGAAAGCGUGGGGAUCAAACAGGAUUAGAUACCCUGGUAGUCCACGCAGUAAACGAUGAUCACUAGCUGUUUGCGAUACACUGUAAGCGGCACAGCGAAAGCGUUAAGUGAUCCACCUGGGGAGUACGCCGGCAACGGUGAAACUCAAAGGAAUUGACGGGGGCCCGCACAAGCGGAGGAACAUGUGGUUUAAUUCGAUGAUACGCGAGGAACCUUACCCGGGUUUGAACGCAUUCGGACCGAGGUGGAAACACCUUUUCUAGCAAUAGCCGUUUGCGAGGUGCUGCAUGGUUGUCGUCAGCUCGUGCCGUGAGGUGUCGGCUUAAGUGCCAUAACGAGCGCAACCCUUGCCACUAGUUACUAACAGGUAAAGCUGAGGACUCUGGUGGGACUGCCAGCGUAAGCUGCGAGGAAGGCGGGGAUGACGUCAAAUCAGCACGGCCCUUACAUCCGGGGCGACACACGUGUUACAAUGGCGUGGACAAAGGGAGGCCACCUGGCGACAGGGAGCGAAUCCCCAAACCACGUCUCAGUUCGGAUCGGAGUCUGCAACCCGACUCCGUGAAGCUGGAUUCGCUAGUAAUCGCGCAUCAGCCAUGGCGCGGUGAAUACGUUCCCGGGCCUUGUACACACCGCCCGUCAAGCCAUGGGAGCCGGGGGUACCUGAAGUCCGUAACCGCGAGGAUCGGCCUAGGGUAAAACUGGUGACUGGGGCUAA